CAGUAAGGUUGAAAAUAAUAGACUGUCUCCUGCCUGGCCCACUUACGGAGAGCAGACCAUUAGAGCGAACGCACAAAAAUACACACAGACACGCACUCGUUCGAGCGAGUUCGCCCAAAACGCCCUGCUGGAUUACAGGAGUCAGACGAAGGGUGAUGCACCCUGGGGAUGGCAGAGAUUACUGGGCUAAAGCAUUCCAUUAUCAUCAGGACAAUUUUUCUCCUUUUGUAAAGACCUCCUCCUCAUUCCCAGACUCUAAACGGUAGUCCACCUGCCAGCUGUCUCCCCCUCGAACAUCUGCAUCCCUUGCCAACACAGAUGUGACCGUGGUGCCCACGAGAGCAUCCUCUGGGAUGUGGAAGGGUCCGUACUGAGGAGGGAGACAAAGACAGCCAUUUAAUCUGCCACUCACAGAUGUCCUCCAGUGAAGCAGCCAUGCCUGUGAUCUGGCUGCCCCAUCCACAGCAUUGCUGAACCCAGGCCUGUCACCACUCUGCUCCCACCCCCACCCCAACAGCAGCACUGCUUUCACAUUGCCAUGGAAAAAGCUGCUCUCUUCAGGCGUGACCUGCUCAAGAGUAUUUUCCACUUCUGUAUUUGUGUGUGUGUUAGUGUGGCUGUGCUAACCGUUAUGGGAGCAAGAGUUCAUUUGUUUUAACAGCUUGAAAAUAGACACUCAGCAGUGUUUACAAGAUAUCCAUUUAAGAGGGCAUAGAUUGAUGACUGAUGUUAUAGCGAAUAAAUACUUUUUUAAAGCAUUAGCUGCUUAGGAAAUUAGUAUUUGAGCAGUUUUUGUAUUUACGAUAACAGUUCUUCUUGGCAAAACCUCCCACACAAUUGGAAAGCUAUUUAUUUUCCCUUAAUUUCACCCCUUUUUUUUAGAUAAAAUGCUCCUGCGGAGGCAGUGCGAUGGUGAUCUCCCCCAUCGUUCCAAGCAAUCUCAAUGUAAAAAUAAUAAUAACAUAAUAAUAACAGUCAUUCCCUUCUUAACUUUGUUUUUCUCUCUGUGUUUUUCUGUCUUUCCAUGGGAGUUGAUUUUAUAUUCAGCUGCGUUUCUUUCCUGGAACGGACCCUUGGUGAUGCCAAUAUUUCCUCUUAGUGUUUGUUUUUCUUUCCCAUAAAAAAACACGACUAAACUAGAUUUUUGUCUUCUUUUUCUGCUCCUUUUGUCCUCUUAAUUGUUACCUCCAG